rnacentral:rRNA from 1 species
UGUGUAGGCGGAUCGUUAAGUGUCUUGUGAAAUCCCCCGGCUCAACCGGGGAAUUGCUGGGCAUACUGGCGAUCUUGAGCGGCCUAGGGGCAGAUGGAACAAGUGGUGGAGCGGUGAAAUGCGUAGAUAUCACUUGGAACGCCAAAGGUGAAGACAGUCUGCUGGGGGCCUGCUGACGCUGAGACACGAAAGCCAGGGGAGCGAACGGGAUUAGAUACCCCGGUAGUCCUGGCCCUAAACGAUGUCAACUAGAUCGUGGGACCUCUGACGGUUUCGCGGUCGAAGCAAAAGUGCUAAGUUGACCGCCUGGGAAGUACGGUCGCAAGGCUAAA